UCUAAAUUGAAAUGUUUGCAUUUUUUCUAAUAGAAACGUUAUUGGAAUUCACGCUCGCUUGGGAAAUAUAUAACGACUGGGCAAAUGAAGUUAAAAAUUGUGAACCUUCAUGCCAGUGCCCAGAAGAAUGCUCAAGUAGAAAACACAAAACUUAAAAUUCGAAUUUGUGUUGAAGAUUUUAAAAAUACAAAUGUCAAUCAAAUCUUUAUAUGAAGAUAAAAAUGAUAACUGCAUUCUAAAUUGAAUUCUGAACUUUCAAAGUGGUGUUAAAGUAAUAUAAGGAGUUUUGGUUUGGAAAACUUAAUACCAAUAACUAUGCUACAGCUUUCAGCAGCAUCAAGACAUCAAGCGCAUCUAAGAACAAAAAUGGCCCGUGAUUAUGACAUGACAUAAAAGUACAAAGUGCUCGGCGAGCUUUGGCUGAAUUUAAAUGUCUUGCCACCACAACAACAACUACUAAUAAGAUAAGCAGCACUGGUCAAGUUUGGUACAAAACGGAGUGAAGGAGUAUGAACUUUUUAUAAAUUAUUUUAAGUUUCACUAAAUUUUUUUAAUAAAAAGUAUUCAAUUUUAAUUAGAGGUAUGCUAUUUUCAGCUUAAGAUAAAUUUUUUACAAAAUUGAUUAACCAGAAAACGCUUGCAGCUGCCUUGGUCUAUCGACGUCUGCAAAGGAGAAAAAUGAAAAGUAUAACAAAGAAAUAAUUUCAAAAAUACAAAAAAUAUAUAUUCAA
rnacentral:lncRNA from 1 species